AGCGCAGCCUAGGAAACCAGUGCAUGCAAGCCCUUGUGCUGCCCUGGUGCCGAAACUGCGCAAGA
rnacentral:snoRNA from 19 species